rnacentral:rRNA from 1 species
AUUGAACGCUGGCGGCAUGCCUUACACAUGCAAGUCGAACGGCAGCAUGGAGAGCUUGCUCUCUGAUGGCGAGCGGCGAACGGGUGAGUAAAGCAUCGGAACGUACCGUGUAGUGGGGGAUAACGUAGCGAAAGUUACGCUAAUACCGCAUACGCACUGAGGUGGAAAGCAGGGGAUCGUAAGGCCUUGCGCUAUACGAGCGGCCGAUGUCAGAUUAGCUAGUUGGUAGGGUAAAGGCCUACCAAGGCGACGAUCUGUAGCGGGUCUGAGAGGAUGAGCCGCCACACUGGGACUAGGACACGGCCCAGACUCCUACGGGAGGCAGCAGUGGGGAAUUUUGGACAAUGGGGGCAACCCUGAUCCAGCCAUGCCGCGUGAGUGAAGAAGGCCUUCGGGUUGUAAAGCUCUUUCGGCCGGGAAGAAAUCGCACAGGCUAAUACCCUGUGUGGAUGACGGUACCGGCAUAAGAAGCACCGGCUAACUACGUGCCAGCAGCCGCCGUAA